UUAGGAGAAUUUCCAAAGCUACCCGUAUUUAAUAUUAAAACAGGUAGCAGUGUCUCCAAAGCUACCUGUUAACUAUUUAAACAGGGGACAUGAUUUAUUUUUCCACUAUUAGAAAUGACAUUUUUAGCUAAAGCAAAUUCAUAGUCUGUUGGAGGUGUAGCGAAGGAGUUUUAAAGGGUGUUUCACAAGACAAAACUAAACCAAAUAUUGUGAAAGCAAAUAUUACAAACAAAAUGGAUUUUUCCUGGUAUUUAGUUGAAGAUGCUUCAAUAAACAAACCAAAAUAUGAAAUUGACUACUGAAUGAUAAUCACGAAAAAAAAAUUCAAAAGGGAAACGAUUCAAUUUUUGCAAAAAGGAAUCAGUUCAUUUUUAUAUUUAUUUUUUACUUUUUUUUAAUUAUUAUUUUUUAAUCAUAUUUAUGUUGUCGCUUAUAUUUUUAGAUAGAAAAAGAACACUUUUCGUUAUUAAAGUUUCUUUGUUUAUUUUCAGCUAAGCUCGCCUUUGCAUGCGCCUGACAUAAGAAUUUCAAAUUGCAAUGAAAUUCCUUCGUGUUUACAUGGUUUUUAUUUCGAUAAACAUCAUAUGCAUUAAAUUGCACGGGCUUCAUACUUACCCAAAAGUUCAACUAGCACAUCGAUUUCCUCACUCGCCUUAUCUUAUUUUUAAAUGGGAGACUGAUCUUUAAGAAAUUGCUAUAAAGAAAAGUCUUUACCACGUGAGGUUUAUCACCUUCAGUUAUCCUCCCAGAUUUUGGGACCAAGUAAUUCGUUUCAAGCUAACACCAGUGUCAAAUACAUCGAUCUACCGUUCUUCUGUCUUCAAAAUUUCUUAAAUAGUUCUUAAUUCACCAUCCUUAAUUGCAACUUUAAAGCUCUUUCAGGCGAUAUAAACUAUUCGGUAAAUUAUAGCUAUGUCAAGUUUAUUUAAAAUAGAAUACUUCACGGAAUAGUUAAUAGUGUAUUAUACUAAAAAUUAUUAAAAAGUUUUUACCAAAAGCAAAAAAAUAGUUUGGUUUAGCUACAAAUAAAAAAUAAAUCAUUUUGAUUUUAUUCAGCAAUAGGUUAGCAAAGAAUACCGACAUACUAUAGUACAGAAUUAUCAUGGUGUAAAGUUUCAUAAAAUGAGUGAGAAUGAACGAAGCUUUGACAAACUUAACAGUUAUCUAGUCACAAGAUGUAAUAUGGAAUCAAUCAACAAAUUUAUACGAAUAUGUAUACAUGUAUUUUUUAAUGAAUAUUAAGAUUCUAACAAGAUUUGGUGUGUAGUUAGCACGACCUGCUUUUGGCCCAGAGACAAAAUACGGCUGUUAUUAUAGAGACGUGACUUUCUUUAAAAUGGGACCACGUUAUCUUGAAAAAAGACUUUAUUUCGUAAAAGAGUGUUUGGAAGGGCGCUCAUUUGAAAAUUAUCAAUUAACGACUUUUAUACAGCGCAGUUUCGGUACAAGUGAAGCGCUUGUGGGGACAAAUUUUAGCUUGCUUUGUUUGACAUAAUAGCCCAGUCUAGUUCCUUGGUCACAUUCUCACAAAUAAUUAUUGUGUCAUACGGAAAAUAGGCAGAAAUGUGUAAUCUUCUGUUGCCCUUUUCUCAAAUCCUUACUAUUAUAUUAAUGUUCAACGCUAGUCCUAUUUAUGGCAUAUCAACUUUAUUAAAAGGCUUCAAGUAAGAACAACUCACAGUUAUUAACUUUUAUAAAGUUCAAAGUUGCAAAAUGGUACAUGGACAUUUAUGUGGCUGCAGAGGCAGUGAGCAUGGACUGAGGUACUUGUUAUAAAAUAGAUGACACACUGGUAGAUAUUAGUACACUUUUCCUUGUAAUCAACAUUCAUGGUAUAAAUUAAGUAUAGCUCUGGAUGGCUGGAAACCACCAUGUUUGACUAUUUCUACCUAAAACAAGGACAACUAAACAAGAAUUAUAGCUAGCUAGUUAAUUGUAGCGAAAGUAAAAGAAAUGGAUAAUCGAAUAUCAAGCUUAAAGAAUCAAGAUAUGGGUAAUCAUUAAAGACCAUUGUCAAGUUAGGACAACAGAUCGUAAAAAUACUAAAAAUCCUAAUAGCAUGAUUAUUUGAAAGUGAAUAUUUCAUUCCACGGACUACAUACCUUUAUGGUUUAGCAUCUCUUAAAAUAACUUUAAAGAAAUUGCGAGUGAAUGGGAUGUCGUGCCAUAUACUUUUGCGGAUGACGGAUUUUAUUUUUUUGGUGAAUCCAGACUUAAGGUAGAUGUAACUAACAGCUAACAAAAUGAUCAUUUAACAAAAGCAUUUACAGUUCGUCAUAAUUUUUUCCCUGUCCCUGUGCACUGGUAAGUCAAACCAGUUUAAACUAUACCCACCUUUCGUCAGCUAUUUAGCUAGCUACACUUGCUAGUUUUUAAAUAUGGUGGUAGUAACUAUUGUUUUAAAAAUGACAAUGAAAACUAGCAAUAUGGGGCCAACAAUAACAUUUCUUUCUUGUUUGACACUUGACUGUUUAGCUAGGCUAACCAUAUGACAGAUAUCAACAGUUUUUAAUCCUUAACAACUUUGAAUUUUGUGUCGUUUGGAUAAAAUACAGUCCAUAAACCAUUAAAGAUUACCCUUUCUUUGAUUUUAGUGUUAUAAUAGUAAAGAUGUUAAAUUUUUUGUUAAUGUUGUUGUUUUCGUCUUGUUGCGCUACCAUUAUGAAAAUUUGUCCCUACAAGCGCUUUACUCGUGCCCAGAAUUUACUGUAUGAAAUUUAGUAAUAGACUCAAUAUAACACAACCAAUUUACCAACACCUAUAAGUGCUCCUGGGUUCAAAUCAGAAGCACCUUGGGCGUUCUUUAUCAUAUUUUAUUGCAAGGACAAUACUAUUCUGUCUAACACUAUGUUAUUUACUAACGUCUUUUUCCUUCUUUGAUAAAUAAAGUUCCUUAAACGACAAGCCUUUUAAAGAUACUGUUUUUUUGAAGAAAAAUCGCACAUAUUGGUUUCAACAAACUAUUACAUUCCCAUAACAGGAUGUCGUGGCAAUUAUCAUACCUUUUUUAUCAUAAACAAAAUCAUGGGGUACAAGAUUGAAUACCCUGCAACCUUCAAACGUUUUCGAAAUUCUCUUGUGGCUAUAGAUCCAUAGAAAUUCUUUAUAAUUGUUCUCAGAUUUACGUUCGUCGUACAUAUUUCCCGCAUUAACACUUUGUGUAUUUUUAUCCGCUGCGGCGCAACCAUUUUAAACAUGGCCAGACUAUUAUGGAGCUUCACACAAAGAAUACUAAGGAAUGUUUUUCGUAUUGCAUGCUAAACAUGAACUAACUCUAAAUACGAAGAUACAGGUGUAUGUACUAACACAAAGUAGAAAACACAGACACACGAACCA